UUUGACGUUAGCGACAGAAGAAGCACCGGCUAACUCCGUGCCAGCAGCCGCGGUAAUACGGAGGGUGCGAGCGUUAAUCGGAAUUACUGGGCGUAAAGCGCAUGCAGGUGGUUUGUUAAGUCAGAUGUGAAAGCCCGGGGCUCAACCUCGGAAUUGCAUUUGAAACUGGCAGACUAGAGUACUGUAGAGGGGGGUAGAAUUUCAGGUGUAGCGGUGAAAUGCGUAGAGAUCUGAAGGAAUACCGGUGGCGAAGGCGGCCCCCUGGACAGAUACUGACACUCAGAUGCGAAAGCGUGGGGAGCAAACAGGAUUAGAUACCCUGGUAGUCCACGCCGUAAACGAUGUCUACUUGGAGGUUGUGGCCUUGAGCCGUGGCUUUCGGAGCUAACGCGUUAAGUAGACCGCCUGGGGAGUACGGUCGCAAGAUUAAAACUCAAAUGAAUUGACGGGGGCCCGCACAAGCGGUGGAGCAUGUGGUUUAAUUCGAUGCAACGCGAAGAACCUUACCUACUCUUGACAUCCAGAGAACUUUCCAGAGAUGGAUUGGUGCCUUCGGGAACUCUGAGACAGGUGCUGCAUGGCUGUCGUCAGCUCGUGUUGUGAAAUGUUGGGUUAAGUCCCGCAACGAGCGCAACCCUUAUCCUUGUUUGCCAGCGAGUAAUGUCGGGAACUCCAGGGAGACUGCCGGUGAUAAACCGGAGGAAGGUGGGGACGACGUCAAGUCAUCAUGGCCCUUACGAGUAGGGCUACACACGUGCUACAAUGGCGCAUACAGAGGGCAGCCAACUUGCGAAAGUGAGCGAAUCCCAAAAAGUGCGUCGUAGUCCGGAUUGGAGUCUGCAACUCGACUCCAUGAAGUCGGAAUCGCUAGUAAUCGUGGAUCAGAAUGCCACGGUGAAUACGUUCCCGGGCCUUGUACACACCGCCCGUCACACCAUGGGAGUGGGCUGCAAAAGAAGUAGGUAGUUUAACCUUCGGGGGGACGCUUACCACUUUGUGGUUCAUGACUGGGGUGAAGUCGUAACAAGGUAGCGCUAGGGGAACC
rnacentral:rRNA from 1 species